ACUGGUGUAAUAAACCUGAGUUCUCCAACUCUCCAAGUGCUGCUUGAUCUCUCGCACAGAUCCAUGUUGCUGCCACAACUGAGCUGUAACACCGAGCUGUAACACAAUUUUCUGCAACACUUGCAAUAUGGUGUCCUCAACACUGGCCAGAGAACCGUGGUCCAAGCCUGGUGAUGGUAUUACGUACACCCAGGGCCCCUCAACACUCCUAGCAGUGUAUCUCUCUGAAGAAAUUUACCUUUACUCAACUGUGGCUCGCUCUUGAAUACUUUCUUGCGCAAAGCCAAGGACCCAUACUUGGUGGGGCACAUCCCAGGGGCUCAAAUGAAGCCUGGGAAAGGCCCCCCUCACGCCCCACAUCCAUUUUUCCUGCUUCAAUAAGUCAAAGAAGGCACUGGCUUGCUCUCUGACUAUCUUCCUGCUGUGAAUGUUAGGGGAAUUAUAGACGGCACACAUCAGAAUGAAGGACCUGCUGGAUUCCUCUCUUCUUAUGCUGAAAAUUAAGUAUCUACAAAUCAGACUCCCGUAUGAUGAAACCAAGCACUUAAAUCCCAGACCGCGGAGAACUAGAAGGUUAAUGAUUGAAAUUCCUGAAACAUCACCCUGUGACCUCACUUCCAGCCAAUCAGAGAGCUGUGCACGUGCUGAUCACGCACUCCACAACCCUUUCCCUCACUCUGUCUUUAAAAACCCUUCCCUGAAAGCUGCUGGGGAGUUUGAAUCUUUUGAGCAUUAGCUGCUCAUUGCUCCCUGAUUGGUGUCCUGCAGUAAACACUGCACUUCCUUCACCACAACCAGGUGUCAGUAGCUUGGCUUUGCUGUUCUUCAAGUGAGCAGACCCAAGGUGAGUUUGGUAACACAAAUGCUUUCUAAUGCAUUUUCCACCAGUUUUGUGAAAUACUAAAAGUGCUAUCGCAUCUGCUCUGAUUCAUGCAGCAUGUGUGUUGUGGAAAUAAAAGCAAAUCUUUGUCUCCAGCUAUGACAGAAUAGAGACUGCUACACAUACUGGACAACAAACCUAUUGACCAAAGUUCAAGCAAAUCUUUCUUCUUUGUAUUUGUUUUACAAAAUUCAAGUUUUGUUAGAGAAAGUGGUGAGUAAUCACUCUGCUCCACAUUUCUGUCCAGAGGUGAUCUUGAGCAAAUAUCUAAGAAAUCUUGGUAGGUGACCAUGAGGAUGACCAUGAAGGGUUAAUUAUUACUUCUGUCUUAAGUCCAUUGUCCAAGUUCAGUCAUAUACAAGUUUUAUCAUUACAACACCAACGAGUAAACUGAAGCACAGAGUAGUUAUUAGAGCUGUCCAAGGUUACAGAGCAUCACAAGUAAAAGAGCUGAAAUUCAAUUUCGAGACAUCGGAAUCCAGAAUCUGCACUCAGAUCUGUGCUCUUAAACGUUACACUCUCACUUGUAAUUUGACUGGCAACUUGGUGACCUGAGAGCAAUUUAAUAAAAGAUGAACAAGUGGUAAGGAUGACAAAGGACAUAAAAAUAUAAGAGGACAUGAGCAUAUACUUCAAUAAGUUAUUACCUGUCUUUGAAUUAAAUCGUAAAUUUUAUUUUAAAUUGCUCAGAGUUAUAGGUUUCUGUAUUAUUCUGAUCACACCAAAACUUAUCAAGAAGACUGACCUGGGACCUCAAUGUUUUUUGGCCCUCUCUUCUUUUCAAUGUCAUUAGCCUAUACCCUAACUAAUAUGUUGUUUA